rnacentral:rRNA from 1 species
AUUGAACGCUGGCGGCAGGCCUAACACAUGCAAGUCGAACGGUGGGCGGACGGGUGAGUAUUUUUUGGAAACCUCCCGGAGGGGGGGGGAUAACUACUGGAAACGGUAGCUAAUACCGAAAACCAUCGGAGUUCCCCGUAGGGGAUUAGCAUGUUGGUGGGGUAAGGGCUCACCAAGGCGACGAUCCCUAGCUGGUCUGAGAGGAGGACCAGCCACACUGGAACUGAGACACGGUCCAGACUCCUACGGGAGGCAGCAGUGGGGAAUAUUGCACAAGGGGCGCAAGCCUGAUGCAGCCAUGCCGCGUGUAUGAAGAAGGCCUUCGGGUUGUAAAGUACUUUCAGCGGGGAGGCGUUACCCGCAGAAGAAGCACCGGCUAACUCCGUGCCAGCAGCCGCGGUAAUUC